rnacentral:lncRNA from 1 species
ACCAGGCACAGGCCGGGAUGGUUCCUAAGGCCAAUUCCAGCCUGACCGUGCAUCUAUUUACGCCUCCAUCACACGCUCAUUGAGCACCUGCUGCACGCAGGGACACGCGUGGAGAAGCACUCAGCAGGCCGUGAAAAUGGGGCCAUAGGGCUGGAUGCAGACGCCAGCCCCGUGACACUGAGCCAAGAAUGGGUCCCUGGGGCUGGCCCUGCCUGGGGGGGCAGACGGGCUUCCUGGGGGAGGGGGCAUCUGAGCCAGGGCCUUGAGGACUGGACGGGAGUAGGCUGGCGCUGGGCUGCCCGCAGAAGCGGGCAGUGCAAGCGGAGUGUCAAGGAAUUAACCCUGGAGCCUGUGUGCAAAGGCUGUUGGAUGUCGGGGGGCCAGGGACUCGGGUGCCAGCCAGUCUUGUCCCUGUCGAGGUUCACAGGUGACUCCAAGCCAUUCCUGCUCUGACCCCUGGAGAGCACCCUGGUCCCGCCUCUGGGAAUCCAGGAAACCUGUGCCUUCCACGCCCAGCCCCUAGCUCGUUGACACCACAAACGCUUCCACCCAUCCAGCCUGCACAAGUUCAUGAGGUGUCGCCCCAGCGGCCCCAGAAGCAGCCGGCCCCGCUGCCUGUGAGACCCUGGGUAGGUCACUUCGCUUCUCUGGACACAGGGUCCCCGCAGGGAGCCUGCUUCUCCCUCUGCCUGUAUCUCCGCCUCUGUCUCUGUGUCUCUCAUGAAUAAAUAAAAAAAAUAAAAUCUAAAAAUGAAAUAAAAUAAAAAUAAGUUCUCCGUACACAUUGCAGAACCUCCGCCCGGGGUUCCGGGACUGGAUGAGGCUUGGCGCACGCACGGGCACCCACGGCACCUCCUCCGUCCUCAGCGGGCCCUGCUGCCGCCCCGAGCUCAUCAUCACUGGCUCCCUUGGGACAAGGCCAGCCAGCUCCCAUCUGCAGCACGGGGCUCCCCCCGCCUCCGGCGGCCGCGACCCUGGUUUCCCAACUCUCUCUGGUCACCAGGCCUCCGUGUCCCCAGCCGAGAGCAUCCUUUCCUUCCGCUGCCACCGCGCUGAGUCAGGAGCCUCGUGGGCAGAGGGGAAGUUGUCCUGACAGUCUGCACCCGUCUGAGUUCCCCCGGGGCAGGUGACUCUUGCUCUUGCUAGGUUUCCCCUCCUGUCAUCCAGGGACACCGCGGUGGCUUCAUCCUUGGCGUGGGGGGUCUCAGGAGGUCAAGCGCCUAGAGGGGCAGGGGUCCUUCCUCUCCUCAGCCUCCGCUGGGUUCAGCCUUUUUCUGUGGCUUUGCCAUGUGCUUCGAUCUCAAUUUGGGGCGU